UUAUUGAUGUAGUUUAGAGUUGUAGUGGGAAUACGU
rnacentral:guide_RNA from 1 species